rnacentral:tRNA from 1 species
GCCUUCGUGGUGUAACGGUAGCACACUCGGCAUGUAUUCGAGAGGUCCAGGUUCGAGUCCCAGUGAAGGCA